rnacentral:rRNA from 1 species
UACGUAGGGGGCGAGCGUUAUCCGGAUUCAUUGGGCGUAAAGCGAGCGCAGGUGGUUUAUUAAGUCUGGUGUAAAAGGCAGUGGCUCAACCAUUGUAUGCAUUGGAAACUGGUAGACUUGAGUGCAGGAGAGGAGAGUGGAAUUCCAUGUGUAGCGGUGAAAUGCGUAGAUAUAUGGAGGAACACCGGUGGCGAAAGCGGCUCUCUGGCCUGUAACUGACACUGAGGCUCGAAAGCGUGGGGAGCAAACAGG